rnacentral:rRNA from 1 species
AACGAACGCUGGCGGCGUGGAUAAGACAUGCAAGUCGAGCGAGAUUUUUUCUCGUAGCAAUACGAGGAAAAGUCUAGCGGCGAACGGGUGCUUAACACGUGGGCAACCUGCCAAGAAGUGGGGGAUAGCUCGCCGAAAGGCGAAUUAAUACCGCAUGUGAUCAGAGUGGACAUCCAUUCAAAAUUAAAGUCGGGGCAACUUGACGCUUCUUGAGGGGCCCGCGGCCUAUCAGCUAGUUGGUGAGGUAACGGCCCACCAAGGCUUUGACGGGUAGCUGGUCUGAGAGGACGACCAGCCACACUGGGACUGAGACACGGCCCAGACACCUACGGGUGGCAGCAGUCGAGAAUUUUUCUCAAUGGGGGAAACCCUGAAGGAGCGACGCCGCGUGGAGGAUGAAGGUCUUCGGAUUGUAAACUCCUGUCAUUGGGGAACAAUGCGUAAAUAUUAACUGUAUUUGCGUUGAUAGUACCCGAAGAGGAAGAGACGGCCAACUCUGUGCCAGCCGCCGCGGUAA